UACAGAGGUCUCAAGCGUUGUUCGGAAUUAUUGUGCGUAAAGGGUGCGUAGGCGGUUCGGUCCGUUGGGUGUGAAAAGUCGAGGCUCAACCUCGAAAUUGCACCCAAUACUACCGGGCUAGAGUACUGCAUAGGAAGCUGGAACUUACGGUGUAGCAGUGAAAUGCGUAGAUAUCGUAAAGAAGACCAGAGGCGAAAGCGAGCUUCUAGGCAGUUACUGACGCUCAUGCACGAAAGCCAAGGUAGCAAACGGG
rnacentral:rRNA from 1 species